GAUAGCCAAAAAUUACCCUUGGGUCAAGGGUGGGGUUGGUAAUGACGCGGACAUCGCCGCCACCGGGUGCCCAAGUGUCGUAGAGGCCACCAAAGAACAUUGCUUUGGCCACCAAAAGUAAAGCACCAAUACCGAGGACGAUCAGGUGGAAACCGAGGAUCGUCGUCAUUUUGUUUUUAUCUUUCCA
rnacentral:antisense_RNA from 20 species